UACGGAAGGCAGCAGUGGGGAAUAUUGCACAAUGGGCGCAAGCCUGAUGCAGCCAUGCCGCGUGUAUGAAAAAGGCCUUCGGGUUGUAAAGUACUUUCAGUCGUGAGGAAGGUGUUAAGGUUAAUAACCUUAGCAAUUGACGUUAGCGACAGAAGAAGCACCGGCUAACUCCGUGCCAGCAGCCGCGGUAAUACGGAGGGUGCGAGCGUUAAUCGGAAUUACUGGGCGUAAAGGGCACGCAGGCGGUUAAUUAAGUUGGAUGUGAAAUCCCCGGGCUUAACCUGGGAAUGGCAUUCAAGACUGGUUAGCUAGAGUCUUGUAGAGGGGGGUAGAAUUCCAUGUGUAGCGGUGAAAUGCGUAGAGAUGUGGAGGAAUACCGGUGGCGAAGGCGGCCCCUGGACAGGGACUGACGCUCAUGUGCGAAAGCGUGGGGAGCAAACAGGGAUUAGAUACC
rnacentral:rRNA from 1 species